CCAGGGCCCUCACACUACUUUGGGGAAAGGGGUCCGCAGCCCUUAGGAAGGGGAAUUUUCGCGGUGUUUCUCUUUUUUGGGGAUUUUUAUGCCCCCCUUCGAAGAAGAGGGGGUAUAUUGCUUUGCUCAUGUCGGUCGGUCGGUCGGUCGUCCGGUAGGUCGGUCGGUAGGUCGGUCGGUUGGUCCGUCCACCAGGUGGUUGUCGUAUGAUAACUCAAGAACGCUUGGGGCUAGGAUCAUGAAACUUCAUAGGUACAUUGAUCAUGACUCGCAGAUGACCCCUAUUGAUUUUGAGGUCACUAGGUCAAAGGUCAAGGUCACGGUGACCCGAAAUAGUAAAAUGGUUUCCGGAUGAUAACUCAAGAACGCAUACGCCUAGGAUCAUGAAACUUCAUGGGUAGAUUGAUCAUGACUCGCAGAUGACCCCUAUCAAUUUUGAGGUCACUAGGUCAAAGGUCAAGGUCACGGUGACCCGAAAUAGUAAAAUGGUUUCCG